UUAAGCGACUAAGCGUACACGGUGGAUGCCCUGGCAGUCAGAGGCGAUGAAGGACGUGCUAAUCUGCGAAAAGCGUCGGUAAGGUGAUAUGAACCGUUAUAACCGGCGAUGUCCGAAUGGGGAAACCCAGUGNNNNNNNNNNNNNNNNNNNNNNNNNNNNNNNNNNNNNNNNNNNNNNNNNNNNNNNNNNNNNNNNNNNNNNNNNNNNNNNNNNNNNNNNNNNNNUGUGAACUCGAAGAGUAGGGCGGGACACGUGGUAUCCUGUCUGAAUAUGGGGGGACCAUCCUCCAAGGCUAAAUACUCCUGACUGACCGAUAGUGAACCAGUACCGUGAGGGAAAGGCGAAAAGAACCCCGGCGAGGGGAGUGAAAAAGAACCUGAAACCGUGUACGUACAAGCAGUGGGAGCACCUUCGGGUGUGACUGCGUACCUUUUGUAUAAUGGGUCAGCGACUUAUAUUCUGUAGCAAGGUUAACCGUAUAGGGGAGCCGCAGGGAAACCGAGUCUUAACUGGGCGUUAAGUUGCAGGGUAUAGACCCGAAACCCGGUGAUCUAGCCAUGGGCAGGUUGAAGGUUGGGUAACACUAACUGGAGGACCGAACCGACUAAUGUUGAAAAAUUAGCGGAUGACUUGUGGCUGGGGGUGAAAGGCCAAUCAAACCGGGAGAUAGCUGGUUCUCCCCGAAAGCUAUUUAGGUAGCGCCUCGUGAAUUCAUCUUCGGGGGUAGAGCACUGUUUCGGCUAGGGGGUCAUCCCGACUUACCAACCCGAUGCAAACUACGAAUACCGAAGAAUGUUAUCACGGGAGACACACGGCGGGUGCUAACGUCCGUCGUGAAGAGGGAAACAACCCAGACCGCCAGCUAAGGUCCCAAAGUCAUGGUUAAGUGGGAAACGAUGUGGGAAGGCACAGACAGCCAGGAUGUUGGCUUAGAAGCAGCCAUCAUUUAAAGAAAGCGUAAUAGCUCACUGGUCGAGUCGGCCUGCGCGGAAGAUGUAACGGGGCUAAACCAUGCACCGAAGCUGCGGCAGCGACACUAUGUGUUGUUGGGUAGGGGAGCGUUCUGUAAGCCUGCGAAGGUGACCUGUGAGGGUUGCUGGAGGUAUCAGAAGUGCGAAUGCUGACAUAAGUAACGAUAAAGCGGGUGAAAAGCCCGCUCGCCGGAAGACCAAGGGUUCCUGUCCAACGUUAAUCGGGGCAGGGUGAGUCGACCCCUAAGGCGAGGCCGAAAGGCGUAGUCGAUGGGAAACAGGUUAAUAUUCCUGUACUUGGUGUUACUGCGAAGGGGGGACGGAGAAGGCUAUGUUAGCCGGGCGACGGUUGUCCCGGUUUAAGCAUGUAGGCUGGUUGUCCAGGCAAAUCCGGAUAAUCAAGGCUGAGGUGUGAUGACGAGGCACUACGGUGCUGAAGUAACAAAUGCCCUGCUUCCAGGAAAAGCCUCUAAGCAUCAGGUAACAUCAAAUCGUACCCCAAACCGACACAGGUGGUCAGGUAGAGAAUACCAAGGCGCUUGAGAGAACUCGGGUGAAGGAACUAGGCAAAAUGGUGCCGUAACUUCGGGAGAAGGCACGCUGGUGUGUAGGUGAAGUCCCUGCGGAUGGAGCUGAGACCAGUCGAAGAUACCAGCUGGCUGCAACUGUUUAUUAAAAACACAGCACUGUGCAAACACGAAAGUGGACGUAUACGGUGUGACGCCUGCCCGGUGCCGGAAGGUUAAUUGAUGGGGUUAUCCGUAAGGAGAAGCUCUUGAUCGAAGCCCCGGUAAACGGCGGCCGUAACUAUAACGGUCCUAAGGUAGCGAAAUUCCUUGUCGGGUAAGUUCCGACCUGCACGAAUGGCGUAAUGAUGGCCAGGCUGUCUCCACCCGAGACUCAGUGAAAUUGAACUCGCUGUGAAGAUGCAGUGUACCCGCGGCAAGACGGAAAGACCCCGUGAACCUUUACUAUAGCUUGACACUGAACAUUGAGCCUUGAUGUGUAGGAUAGGUGGGAGGCUUUGAAGCGUGGACGCCAGUCUGCGUGGAGCCAACCUUGAAAUACCACCCUUUAAUGUUUGAUGUUCUAACGUUGGCCCCUNCGGGGUUGCGGACAGUGUCUGGUGGGUAGUUUGACUGGGGCGGUCUCCUCCCAAAGCGUAACGGAGGAGCACGAAGGUUAGCUAAUCCUGGUCGGACAUCAGGAGGUUAGUGCAAUGGCAUAAGCUAGCUUGACUGCGAGCGUGACGGCGCGAGCAGGUGCGAAAGCAGGUCAUAGUGAUCCGGUGGUUCUGAAUGGAAGGGCCAUCGCUCAACGGAUAAAAGGUACUCCGGGGAUAACAGGCUGAUACCGCCCAAGAGUUCAUAUCGACGGCGGUGUUUGGCACCUCGAUGUCGGCUCAUCACAUCCUGGGGCUGAAGUAGGUCCCAAGGGUAUGGCUGUUCGCCAUUUAAAGUGGUACGCGAGCUGGGUUUAGAACGUCGUGAGACAGUUCGGUCCCUAUCUGCCGUGGGCGCUGGAGAAUUGAGGGGGGCUGCUCCUAGUACGAGAGGACCGGAGUGGACGCAUCACUGGUGUUCGGGUUGUCAUGCCAAUGGCACUGCCCGGUAGCUAAAUGCGGAAGAGAUAAGUGCUGAAAGCAUCUAAGCACGAAACUUGCCCCGAGAUGAGUUCUCCCUGAGACUUUAAGUCUCCUGAAGGAACGUUAAAGACGAUGACGUUGAUAGGCCGGGUGUGUAAGCGCAGCGAUGCGUUGAGCUAACCGGUACUAAUGAACCGUGAGGCUUAACCUU
rnacentral:rRNA from 1 species